GAUGUCAUGGUAACUGGCAUUGCUUUCCUGCUAAUGUGCUUUCCUCACCAUACACUAGAAGUCAAGUUGACCUUUGCAGGAGCCUCUGCUGGGAUACAAGUGAAGCCCUUCAGCAUCCCUUUCAUCCAAAGCCAGAGAUCUCUCCCCGAUUGAUAGGACAUCCAUUAGCUCUUUCAUUGUGUGGAACUGAAUGUUUAUCUCCUACUGAAAUGUUAUGUACACAAGGAUCAACAUGUAAGUGGCAUGGCAUCAAGUGUCAGACAUGGCAGCUAAAUUUAGAGCUCACAUCCUUUACUUUCAUCAUGAAGCAGAGAGUGGGAACUGAAAAUGACGGGUGGAUGUAAAUUAUCAAAUCCUACCCCCAGUGACGUAUUUCCUUAGCAGAACAGCAUUUCCUAAACCUUCACAAAUGAUACCACCAACUGAAAAGGAUUUCUUUGACUUCAAGUUUACAUGCUUGCUUUCUGUUAUAUGAACCAAUUCACAAUGAAAAACAUCUCUGUAAACCUUUAAAUGUCUCAAUACCUGUGUUACAGCAAUGCAUGUUUACAAAUGAAUUAGUUUCAUCAAUAAAAUUUUUUGAAGAGUUGUUUUAAUUUUAA